CAAAAGUUUCUUCAGAGUAAAAGAGAGAUGAGAGUGGAUAUUGGAACAAAGAAAAACAAAGCUGGACAGAUAGUAAUUGGGGACAAAGAAAUGGAUGAACUGAAUAAGUAUUUUGUUUCAGUCUUCACUGUGGAAGAUAAUAGCAGUGUGCCAGAAAUUCAAUAAUGACAAGGGGCAGAAGUGAGUGGAGCUGCUAUUACUAAGGAGAAAGUGCUUGGGAAGUUGAGUGGUCUGAAGGUAGAUAAGUCACCUGGACCAGAUGGACCACAUCCCAGGGUUCUGAAAGAGGUGGCUGAAGAGAUUGUGCAGGUAUUAGUAAUGAUAUUUCAAGAAUCACUAGAUUCUGGAAUAUUUCCAAAAGACAGGAAAAUUGGAAACGUCACUCUGCUCUUUAAGAAGGGAGCGAGGCAAAAGACGGGAAAUGAAAGGGCAGUUAGCCUGACUACAGUGGUUUGGAAGAUGUUGGAAUUCAUUGUUAAGGAUGAGGUUUUAGAGAAGUUGGAGGUGCAUGAUAAAAUAGGCUGAAGUCAGUGUGCUUUCCUCAAGGGAAAAUAAGUUAGCCAUGAUGGAAUGGCAGAGCAGACUCGAUGGGCCAAAUAGUCUAAUACUGCUCCUACGUCUUAUGUCUAAUGGUCUGAUUCUGAAAGCAAUAGAUGAUUGUUAUGAACGUCAGACUCAGCAGCUUCAGGGUACAACUCUUAAUAAGUAUUGUUUUGAAAGGGAGCUGACAAAAUACUGGAAAUGUUUUACCAGGGUGCUCAGAACUUUGGUUCUUUGGUCUCGGUAUUGUGAUGGCAUAAUUUGUUUUUGUUACAGGUUCAUGGACAUGUUAACAGUGAACUGAGGCGGUUCAAGGAUACAGACUGUUGUCAGGUUCUGGUGCCCACGGACCUGUUUGUGGUGAAUCACAGCGCAGCUGAGGAGAGGCAGUGCACUGAGGUCGAGUGGAGCAGACUCCCAUCUGGUAGCAGUGCUGCCUCACAUUGUCAGAGCCCGAUGAGGAGGAAGUUCUUCAUCCAAAGUUUGUGUCCACACUCUCGAGCAAGCAAUAAUGAGUAUUGUGAUGGACUUUACCAGUAGUAGGUCAUGAAAAUGAAGUUGGGCACAGUGGUCACCAGCUGCAGCGUCCUCCAGGCUGGUGCCAGGUAAGCAAUAG